GACGAACGCUGGCGGCGUGCUUAACACAUGCAAGUCGAACGGAAAGGCCCUGCUUUUGUGGGGUGCUCGAGUGGCGAACGGGUGAGUAACACGUGAGUAACCUGCCCUUGACUUUGGGAUAACUUCAGGAAACUGGGGCUAAUACCGGAUAGGAGCUCCUGCUGCAUGGUGGGGGUUGGAAAGUUUCGGCGGUUGGGGAUGGACUCGCGGCUUAUCAGCUUGUUGGUGGGGUAGUGGCUUACCAAGGCUUUGACGGGUAGCCGGCCGGAGAGGGUGACCGGCCCCAUGGGGACGGUGGACCAGACCAGGACCGUGGGGGGGGCCGGAGUGGGGAAUAGGACACGGGGGGGGGACGACGGACGCCGCAGCGGCGGGGGCGUGUGGAGGGGCGUCGGGUUGUCCACCGCUUUCCCCUGUGACGAAUCAGGGGUGACGGUGAGGGGACCAGAAGCGCCGGCUAACUACCGGCCACCGGCCGCGGUAAUAGAUCGGCAACGCCCACCUCCUCC
rnacentral:rRNA from 1 species